GGGGGACGCGGCUGCGGGACCGGAACAAGGAGCUUUACUUCCUCACCGAAAAUUUCCAGUCAAAUGCUAAGCGGAAAGAGCUGCUAGAGUUUGGGCAAUUAUCAGGAUAUUACUGAAGGGAAAUUAUUUUCUCUGAUCAACAAAUUCCAGGGUGCAACCAGUUCAUAUGGCUCGAUGACUGUCAGCUGUUGAAGUUCAGCAUUCCAUAAAGCCAGAUAAGAUAGCUUUAUCAUUAAGUAGAAAGGAAACCAGCUGGCUCUGGAGGCCAAGAAGUAAGUUUUUAUAACUUAGAAACCAGAUAAUAAACUUUUCAACAGAGAAGGAAGCAAUGUCAAAGUUAGCAGCAUUGUCUGAAGAUGGAGACCUACGUAUGUGUUGGAAAAUUCAGUAAAAACACCUGUGCAGUACUUGUGGCUGCCAGAAAAAUGAUAGUUACAUUUCUCUUUUAAACCCCUACAUGCCGGAAUUUUACUUUGUGCUUCAGGACACCAACACAAAUGGUGCUUAGAGAGAACUUCCCCUAACACUGUUUCCUUGUAACUCCUGCCUGUGCUGGUGCCUUCCCUUGGAACCAGCUGUUCCCAGUGGGCUGUGCUGCACACAAGGGUUAAGCUGCGUUUCUCUGUGCACUCCUCUGGGAUUACCCCACCUUCUCAGGUGCCCUUGGGUCAGAGAUACCGGGCUCUGCAGGUAGAAUCAGUGCUGAGGGCUAUUCUGCAUUGAGGUUGGAGGUAUCAACAAGGUCAAGUUGACCUGCAUUCCGUAUCAAAAUCACUCCUGUGGAGAAAAAAAAAGACAGGUUAUUGUCACAGGGACUCAGAGGGGAACUGAAGGCGCAGUGUAUGACAUGGGAAGCAAGGACAGGUUACACAGAAAAAUGAGGGAAAUGCUGUUCAAAAUUUCAGGGAGAAAAUUCACGUGGCCAGAGCUUGAUUAGUGUUCAAGCUUGCCAGCACUGUGAAAGACAGCAAAAAGGACUUGUUAAAACAUGUUACCAGCAAAAGGAGGAUCACAGAUCACAUCAGUUCACACUUGACAAGGUCAGACACCUCCCAAACAGGGACAUGGAGGAAGCAGAGGUGUUUAAUGCCUUCUUCACCUCUGUCAUUAACAUCAGGGCUGGGCCCUGGGACACACAGAGCUCCGUGUUGUGGGACUGUGAAUAGGGCAGGAUAAACUCUCCACCAAAGCUGAACGUGUUUGAGGCUUGCUGCUCCAGCUGGAUGCACACAGAUCUAUGGGGCUCAGGGGGGUUCAUCCCAGGGUACUGAAAACGCUGGGCCUGUCAUCACAGGAUCUCUCUCCAUUAUUUCCCAAGUCUUGGGAGACUGGAGAGGUCCCUGCACACAGGAAGCUGGCCAAACCUGCCAUUUUCUAGAGGAGCAAGAAAGAAGACCCUGGUAAUUACAGUCCUGUCAGUCUCACUUCAGUGCCUGGUGAAAGUGGGUUAUGUUUCUGGGCAUUAUUGAAAAACACUUGAGAGACAACACAGUCUUUUGGCUUCCAGCAAGGAGCAGGUUUCUGGCUGAGAAAAUUUAUCUGGAUAAGUCUCUCAUUCUUUUUAAGUUUUGGGAUGGGGGGAGGGUGAGAGCUGAGUUGAUUUAUAGAUGUUUGCGUGUUUGUGUUUCUAACUGCUCUCCUUCCCGCUCCAGGAGCCCUUGCUGCCGUGUCCUGGCAGAAGGAGGUGACCUGCUCCCACACGGUGGCACUGCUGGCCUGGCUGUGUCCCGCUCGUGUCCCCUCUGCCUGCCCAGGGAAGGGUCCUGACAAUAGCCCAGUGCACUUGGCAUCUCACAGACUCCCAGGAUCGAGGCCCUCUGCAGUGCUUGGUGAAUCACAGAGCGACCUGGGUCACCUUCUGCUCCUCCUUGCAGGAUUUUGGGGAAGGGGAAAGGCGCUGGGUUACACCUGCACUGAAAACAUUGUGGGGUGAGAACAGUCCUGCUCAUCCCGCGCUGGCUCAGGGCACUCAAGGGGCCAAACACCUCCUGUUGCUCCUCUUUUCCUGCUUCAGCUCCCCCAGACCCCUCUUGUUUCUCCUCACUGCUGCCGUGCUGAGCCUCUUUUUCCAAACAAAGCUCCAUCAAUGCCUUUGCCCUCAAAGCCUGUUCAUCUCUCCUAACACCCUAUAACUCCUCCACGCUCUUUUUUCCUCCUAUGCUUUUCUUCGUGCCCACACUCCUUUCCUCUUUGCCCAGUGCUGCAUUUGAGUCCUGGGCCAGAACACAGACCUGCCGUGGGGUGGCCUUUCCUUUCCUGAAGUCAGGCUUUGGAUUGUUUCAUGAAUGGGUCUGUCAGGUGCAAGGUCUGGUUGGGUUUGUGGACAAGCAGCUGUGGUCCUGCAGGACCAGCAUGGCUCAUCUGUGGCCGUGCUGGACUCUCCCUGUGGCUAACACCCUGCCUGGCUCGGCCUGAGCUCGACUGGGCUCUUUCCACGCCGUGAGGUACUCGGGCGUCUGAUCAGCCCACGCAGCUGCUAAACUGGGUCCCUGCCUGUGUUUUCCUCCUGAGCGUGACUGUCUGUUUGUUAAAUAAUGUAGCGACACGAGGUUCCUUGAACUCAAUUUAUCUUCCCGUGUAGCCAUGGGAACAGUGGCUGGGGUGGUGACGCUGGGCUCGAUGUCAGAUCUGCUGCAAGGCUCUGGGUGAGCCCGGCUUAGCCCUGCUCCCUUGAUGCUGUCCUGCCUGGCAGCUUCGCUUCUUUAGGCUUGUUUGCUUAGACUCUUCUUAGACUCUGUACUUUAAACCUGGGAAAUGCCGAGGAUGAUGGGGAGUUUGGGGGAAGAUGAAGGCUUUGGGAGCGGCGAGAUGUGACAGAGGGGAGAGGUUGCACCCAAAAGAUGCUGCAACUCCCUGUGCUGCCUGCAGUAUAUGGUUUGUGGAAAGAAAAUAAAGGCA
rnacentral:lncRNA from 1 species